UACGGGGGGAGCAAGCGUUGUUCGGAUUUACUGGGCGUAAAGGGCGCGUAGGCGGUCGUGACAAGUCACUUGUGAAAUCUCCGGGCUUAACUCGGAACGGUCAAGUGAUACUGUCGGACUAGAGUACAGAAGGGGCAACUGGAAUUCCUGGUGUAGCGGUGAAAUGCGCAGAUAUCAGGAAGAACACCAAUGGCGAAAGCAGCUCUCUGGGACGGUACUGACGCUGAGACGCGAAAGCGUGGGGAGCGAACAGG
rnacentral:rRNA from 1 species